rfam:Salmo salar isolate Sally breed double haploid chromosome ssa27, whole genome shotgun sequence.
ACCAAGAUGGCCGAGAAGUUAAGGCGUUGGACUCAAGAUCUAGUGGUCAUAUGUCCUCGUGGGUUUGAACCCCAUUUCUGGGA